GGGGUUAUAGCUCAAUUUGGUAGAGCAUCUGAUUUGCAUUCAGAAGGUUGUCGGUUCGAGUCCGAUUAACUCCACAA
rnacentral:tRNA from 1 species